GAUUAUUCUACAACAGAACGCCUGUCCAUAUCAACAUAACAAACAAUACAUAAACGUCAGAUAAAUCAUGCACAAAACUGAUUCCGUGUGGAUUAAAAGAAGAUAUUAUGUCUGUGCAACCAUUUAUGAAUAUCAAUUAACCAUUUUACUCGUAUUAAAUAUACAAAAGAGCUGCUGAGCAGAUCACCAUAACACAAUUACUUGUAACAUCAUAAAUCCAGAUCCACUCAAAACAAUAUUACUUCACAUCACAAAAAGCAAUUAAAAAAAAGUUUGAAUUAUCAUAUCCAAUCACACGGCUUAAUUUUGUUAAGUUUGUAUCUUAGAUUUCUAUAACCAAGAAUAUAAACAUGAAAAGAACUUUUAAAUUCGCUUUGAUUUCUUUCUUCUCUCAAAUUCUUCUCCACUUUUAAUCAAAGAUAUAUUUGACCACAGAUCUAACCUCAAACCUUCCUAAAAACUAAGAAGAAAAAGAACAAAACUUUUCUAUGUCACACUCACAAAGCCAGUCAAAUCUACCAAUCCAAACCAAAUCAAGCUACUAAAACACGAGAAAUUUUCAAAACCCAACCUCUUUUUUUUUCUUUUCCCCUUUAGUUGAAC
rnacentral:misc_RNA from 1 species